CUUAUAACUGCUUCUCCCCCCUUCAUGAGACCGGAUGCUAUGUUGGGAUCACCUGGGCCUCCAUCGCCCGGCAUGUACACGCUACAUCAGGUGUAGGUGAACAACAUCAGAGUGCGGCAGUCAGAGAUCCUAAAGAAGGACUCCAUAUGUUUAGUCGAGACAGUACGCCGUACAUCUCUUACGACAAGGAUAUUUGUUUCAGGACCCCUUUCCCGAUACUGACAAGGACAUUUAAGCAAUUAUGUGAGCUGCAGUCUGGAUCCUGCCUCUGUCA